rnacentral:pre_miRNA from 1 species
AAAAAAACAAACCCUAAAUUUCCAUGUCCAACUUUAACUGUCCGUCUUAUAUGAAAUUUUUUUAUAAUUCGUAUUUUCAUUGCUGUUUGAUGAUAAAACAUGAUUAAUAUUUUAUGUGUGACUUGUCUUUUUAAUUUUUUUUCAUAAUUUUUUUAAAUAAUACGGACGGUCAAAUGUUGAACAUGGAAACU